UACGGGGGGGGGCAAGCGUUGUUCGGAAUUACUGGGCGUAAAGGGCUCGUAGGUGGCCAACUAAGUCAGACGUGAAAUCCCUCGGCUUAACCGGGGAACUGCGUCUGAUACUGGAUGGCUUGAGUGUGGGAGAGGGAUGCGGAAUUCCAGGUGUAGCGGUGAAAUGCGUAGAUAUCUGGAGGAACACCGGUGGCGAAGGCGACAUCCUGGACCAUUACUGACACUGAAUAGCGAAAGCCAGGGGAGCAAACGGG
rnacentral:rRNA from 1 species